CUAUAAUCUUGAUCACAUUGGCCUAAAAGUGAAACUGAAAGUUGUGGUUCUGGUAUAAGUUUGUCUUACAUGUGACAUUCUUGGUUGAAUAGGCUGUUGGUUAGUAUAGUCAUUUAUUGUGCCAUCCAAACUAUACUAAUUCGUGUAUUGACUGUGCAGUUUAAGAGGUGUAACAGGUUGGAAACAAAAAGGGACCCUAAAGAUAGUCAAAGAACUGUUACGGAGCUAGGAGUGGCCGUGUGACCUGUACGAAAAUGACUCUGUUUUAUACAAAUUUGAGUGCUACUUAAGUGGUGACUGCCAGCGAGUGGCCACAAGCUCAUAUAGCAAUUUGUUCUGCGUAUUUGGUUGUUCUCCCAGAAGACCUGAAGCAAGAACAUUGGAAGAAAGCAAAAAUCCAGUGAGGUGACACUCUUGACAUAGUAAGGGUUUUUGUUACAUCUGCUACUGUACCAGAGGCUGCGCUUAUUCUACGAACAACCUCCGGAGCACAAACACUCGGUGAGGUUGUCCGCGCCGAGCCAAUCAACUGGACAUUUAAAGAUCUUGUUCGUCGCCCGUAACUACGGUGUACGGCCACUUUGACGGUGCAUGGGGCGUUGCAGCAUGGCACGUGAUUCUAUGAUGAUUGACAUUUGUUUGUGUAUUGAUGCUAACUAAGUCCUUUAUGUUGGUUGAACUUGCUGUCUCUGCUACAUUUUGUGUGUUUGUUGCUACGCUUUGCCAUAUAUGUUAGGCUA